GGUUGGUCUGAGUGCAGUGGUGUUUACAACUAAUUGAUCACAACCAGUUACAGGUUUAUUUGCUCCUUCUCCACUCCCACUGCUUUAUUUGACUAGCCUGAA
ensembl:misc_RNA Y_RNA Y RNA